CAAGUAUCAAGAAUUAUUUGAGAAGUACCUUGACGCUGUCUUUCUAAAGCUCGAUUGCAAUCAAGAAUACAAGCCAUUGGCGAAGGAGCUCCACAUAAGGGUGGUUUCAACGUUCAAGAUACUGAAGCACAAGAAGAUAGUAAAGGAGGUGACCGGAGCAAAAUUCGAUGACUUAGUUGCUGCUAUCGAGACGGUUUGAUCCAGCUAAGUUCAUUUCAGUACCUGCAAAAUAUUAAUCCAAUCAAAUCAAAAACAACGAUGACUUCAUGCAUGCGUUGAACUAAUUGUUCUUCUUGUAUUUAUAUAUAUAUGUGU